AUGUCUGACGGAUGCUGUGGCUGGGCAGACCUUCCGGACGGACUGUUGGACUCUAUCAUUGCUCGGCUUGGUGCUUCCCGUGAUCUUUUUGCCUUCGAAGCCACCUGCCGCUCUUGGCGUGCCGCGUUUUCUUCAUGUCCAGCAGGCUUCCCACCUCUCCUUCUCCAACCAGAUGUCUCUUUGUGCUCUCCUCGUUCUCCCACCUUCAGAAAGAGCCUGGUGCCCACACGCCCAUGUCAGGUCACUGAUAUAGCCAACCGAGACACCACUUGCCAGUGCUUUGAGAUUCCCAUAUUUUUGAUUCCUCGUGGAAAGAAAUCCCUGCCAAGUCCUCUGGAAAACUUUUGCUUCAUUGGGUCUUCCUACGGUCAUGUUAUUUUUUCCAACAAUAAAUCGUGUGUAGUUUUUGAUUUGUUUACAAACGUUACUGCCACAUCUCCACAACUGCCAGUCUUGGAUGGCAGUGGUCCCAUCUAUGGUGCGCUCACUGCUCCUCUAGCAUCACCUAACUCAUAUCUCAUUAUCGAAGCUGGGUCACAAAAUCUGUUUUGGCAUGUUGGUAGCCAUUCUUGGGCACAUUAUUCUCUUCGUCAUGGACCAAUAAAGCAAAUCGUGGUCUUCCAAGGGCAAGUGUUUGGCAUGAAUUCUGGUCGCAGGCUCUUUAAAGUGCACUUGACACCCCAAAUAAGCAUACAAGAACUGCCAGUUAUUAAGUCAAGCUUGAGCAGUGAACAACAUCUUUCCGACGCAUUGCUUGUCUGUGGCGAUAUGCUUCUCUUGGUAACCAUAAGGGGACGUACUUUACUACCAAGGAGAACCUUCGAAGUCUUCCACCUUGACCUAUCGACUGAGCCCGCAUGAUGGCUAAAGUUGGAGAAGUUAUUGCAUUGGGUGAUCUUCAUCAGCCAUGACAAGAGAAGCCAGGCAUUGUCUUGCAUGAACCCAAAGAAAUGGGGAGGGCGGAGCAAUUGCAUAUACUUCUAUGACCGCUGGUCUAAACGUGGGAUCGUUUUUGAGUUGGGCAAGCCGGGGCAGGGAUAUAGGUAUGUUACCGGUGAGUGGGACAGAAGGGUGCAACCUAUGUGGUUUUUCCCCAGCAUGUUCUCUCUGCAUCGGUGA
rnacentral:rRNA from 1 species